AGUGGAGCGGCUGCGCGCGCAGAAGGAAUCACUCGACCUUCAGUUUCACGGUCAAUCUUCAAUCUGAGGCGAAAAUAAGCAGAUAAGUUCAGUGAGUGCUAAAACCAUGGUCAACAUGAAAGGUCAUAGUUAAUGACCACAUCACCAUCUUCUGCGACGCUCUGAAGCUGAUGUUUGCUUCAUACUACUGCUUGAACAUUUCAUACCCAGGAAACCAAGGAGAAACGCAAGAGAUUGUGCAAAGGUAAAAGCACACACUCAUACACUCACUCUCACACGUAUCACACUCACACGUGUGUUCUCACACACACUCACACUUUUUCAACACACACUGAACACAUCCUUACAUAC